AUUGAACGCUGGCGGCAGGCUUAACACAUGCAAGUCGAGCGGAGCGAGGGUGCUUGCACCUUAGCUUAGCGGCGGACGGGUGAGUAAUGCUUAGGAAUCUGCCUAUUAGUGGGGGACAACAUUCCGUAAGGAAUGCUAAUACCGCAUACGCCCUGCGGGCGAAAGCAGGGGAACUUCGGACCUUGCGCUAAUACAUGAGCCUAAGUCGGAUUAGCUAGUUGGUGGGGUAAAGGCCUACCAAGGCGACGAUCUGUAGCGGGUCUGAGAGGAUGAUCCGCCACACUGGGACUGAGACACGGCCCAGACUCCUACGGGAGGCAGCAGUGGGGAAUAUCGGACAAUGGGCGGAAGCCUGAUCCAGCCAUGCCGCGUGUGUGAAGAAGGCCUUUUGGUUGUAAAGCACUUUAAGCGAGGAGGAGGCUACUUAGAUUAAUACUCUGGGAUAGUGGACGUUACUCGCAGAAUAAGCACCGGCUAACUCUGUGCCAGCCGCCGCAGUAA
rnacentral:rRNA from 1 species